rnacentral:rRNA from 1 species
GUGUGGAUAGGGGAGAAAUUCCAAUCGAACCCGGAGAUAGCUGGUUCUCCUCGAAAUAGCUUUAGGGCUAGCCUCGUUUUAGUCUUAUGGAGGUAGAGCACUGAAUUUCCGCGGGGGCGUCAAAGCUUACCAAAGAAUAUCAAACUCCGAAUGCCAUGUAGAUGAUGAACGGGAGUCAGACUGCACGAGAUAAGUUGGGCGGUCAAAAGGGAAAGAGCCCAGACCACCGGCUAAGGUCCCAAAGUGUGUGUUAAGUGGAAAAGGAUGUGGGAAUUCGAAGACAACUAGGAUGUUGGCUCAGAAGCAGCCAUACAUUCAAAGAGUGCGUAACAGCUCACUAGUCGAGAGUCCCUGCGCCGAAAAUGUCCGGGGCUGAAACACAACACCGAAGCCGUGGACUCCGUAAGGAGUGGUAGAGGAGCAUUCUUAAAACCGACGAAGCUGUACCGGUAAGGAGCAGUGGAGGGAUAAGAAGAGAGAAUGCCGGAAUGAGUAGCGAGAGGAAGGUGGGAAUCCUUCCGGCCGAAUAUCUAAGGUUUCCAGAGUAAAGCUGAUCUGCUCUGGGUAAGUCGGGGCCUAAGGAGAGGUCGCAAGACGUAUCCGAUGGACAACAGGUUUAGAUUCCUGUACCGCAUAUAAACAGAACUGUGGGGACGCAUGUGGAAAGCAUAAGCCGGGAAUGGAAAGACCGGUACAAGCGGGGUAGGUGUGUGACAGGCAAAUCCGUCACAUAAGCCGAAGACGUGAUGUGGAGCGAAAUUAAGUAGUGAAGUAUGUGAGCCAUGUGCCGAGAAAAGCCGCUAUUGUUUUAUAUGUGCCCGUACCGUAAACCGACACAGGUGGAUGAGGAGAGAAUCCUAAGGCCGACGGAAGAAGCAUUGUUAAGGAAUUCGGCAAAAUGACCCCGUAACUUCGGGAGAAGGGGUGCCCACUGAAUGGUGGGCCGCAGAGAAUAGGCUCAAGCAACUGUUUAGCAAAAACACAGGUCUAUGCGAAACCGAAAGGUGAAGUAUAUGGGCUGACGCCUGCCCGGUGCUGGAAGGUUAAGAGGAGAGGUUAGCGCAAGCGAAGCUUUGAAUUUAAGCCCCAGUAAACGGCGGCCGUAACUAUAACGGUCCUAAGGUAGCGAAAUUCCUUGUCGGGUAAGUUCCGACCCG